CACACCUGCAAGGACCCCCCAACCGGCCAGCGACAGGCUGAAUACAAAGAGUGACACAUUCUUUAGAGUGAAAGUAUAGUUGCCAUCAACCCAGCAGAGAGUCGGAGAGGUGCAGUUGUCUGGACCAGGAACUGUGACAUUCUAGUGUUCUGAUGGCCCUGUCUGAGGAACACAGCUGGGCUGGACAAAAAGGAU